AGUCUGCAACCCGACUCCACGAAGCUGGAUUCGCUAGUAAUCGCGCAUCAGCCACGGCGCGGUGAAUACGUUCCCGGGCCUUGUACACACCGCCCGUCAAGCCAUGGGAGCCGGGGGUGCCUGAAGUUCGUGACCGCAAGGAGCGACCUAGGGCAAAACUGGUGACUGGGGCUAAGUCGUAACAAGGUAAC
rnacentral:rRNA from 1 species